rnacentral:rRNA from 1 species
AUACGGAGGGUGCAAGCGUUAUCCGGAUUCACUGGGUUUAAAGGGUGCGUAGGCGGGCAGGUAAGUCAGUGGUGAAAUCUCCGAGCUUAACUUGGAAACUGCCGUUGAUACUAUCUGUCUUGAAUGCUGUGGAGGUAAGCGGAAUAUGUCAUGUAGCGGUGAAAUGCUUAGAUAUGACAUAGAACACCUAUUGCGAAGGCAGCUUGCUACACAGAAAUUGACGCUGAGGCACGAAAGCGUGGGGAUCAAACAGGAUUAGAUACCCUGGUAGUCCACGCCCUAAACGAUGGAUACUCGACAUCAGCGAUACACAGUUGGUGUCUGAGCGAAAGCAUUAAGUAUCCCACCUGGGAAGUACGACCGCAAGGUUGAA